ACUCCAGGAACACCAUGGACAGGUUCGACUUGGAAUGAUGCGUCACCUUUAUGUGGUCAUUGAUGGAUCAAGAACUAUGGAGGACCAAGACUUAAAACCCAACAGACUUACUUGCACUUUAAAGUUAUUGGAGUAUUUUGUUGAAGAGUACU